rnacentral:lncRNA from 1 species
AUGAACUUCACUGAUUACCCAGAGUUGGAAAUGCCCUUGUUCUUAGUGUUUCUCAGUUGCUUCCUGGCCAUUAUUUUGAGAAAUAUGGAAUGGGUCAUUCUGACCCAAGUGAAUGUGCAUCUCUUCACCCUAUAUACUUCUUCCUAACAAAUGUCACCCUUUGGGAUACCUCAGUCAUCAUGCCUCAGAUCCUGGCCAUUCUGGCCACAGGCAAGACAACCAUUUCCUAUGGCCGCUAAUAAAAGCAAUGAGGUCCUUUUUCUUCAUUUGUGUAGGAACUUAGUGUUUCCUGGAACGUGGUGAAUGCCUACACCUGAGGACUAUCAGGAGCCACUUUCAACACCAUCUGCACAUUUGCCCGCUUCUUCUGUGAUGACAAUUAGAUCAAAUUCUGUCACAUCCUGCCCCUGCUGAAGCUCAUUUGAAAUACUUCAGGAAACAGCAAGAUAAUUAUUGUGAUCUUUGACAGCUUUUAUGAUUAUAGCUGGCACUAGGGUCAUCCUGAUCUCUUACCUGCUAAUCAUCAGGGCUUUGAGGAUGAAAUCAUCGAGUGGCAAAGCCAAUAAUUUUAUCCAUCCACUUGUGCCUCCCACCUAACUGCUAUGACCUUCCUUUGGGAUCCCCAUCUUCAGACAUGUGAAGUACCUCAGAUAAAUCACUGACAGAAGACAAGUUGGCAUCAUGACUUGCACCAUCUUUAUUCCUAUGCUAGAACUUUUGAUCCAAAGUCUAAAGAAGGAUAUACAAGUUGCCUUCAAAAAGGCCAUAGG